rnacentral:rRNA from 1 species
GAUGAACGCUGGCGGCAUGCCUAACACAUGCAAGUCGAACGGAAUCUUAUAUGUUCCUCGUUUUGGAUUUAGUUCCAAGUUGAGGAACAAUAAGAUUUAGUGGCGGACGGGUGAGUAACACGUUGGUACCUACCCUCUAGUGGGGAAUAACUUCGAGAAAUCGAGGCUAAUACCGCAUAAUAUCUACGGAUUAAAGCAUUUAUGCGCUAGAGGAGGGGCCUGCGUCUGAUUAGCUAGUUGGUGAGGUAAAAGCUCACCAAGGCAACGAUCAGUAGCUGGAUCGAGAGGUUGACCAGCCACACUGGGACUGAGAUACGGCCCAGACUCCUACGGGAGGCAGCAGUGAGGAAUCUUCCACAAUGG